GACGAACGUUGGCGGCGUGCUUAACACAUGCAAGUCGAACGGAAAGGCCCUUCGGGGUACUCGAGUGGCGAACGGGUGAGUAACACGUGGGUGAUCUGCCCUGCACUUUGGGAUAAGCCUGGGAAACUGGGUCUAAUACCGAAUAUGACCACGCUCUUCAUGGGGUGUGGUGGAAAGCUUUUGCGGUGUGGGAUGGGCCCGCGGCCUAUCAGCUUGUUGGUGGGGUAAUGGCCUACCAAGGCGACGACGGGUAGCCGGCCUGAGAGGGUGACCGGCCACACUGGGACUGAGAUACGGCCCAGACUCCUACGGGAGGCAGCAGUGGGGAAUAUUGCACGAUGGGCGCAAGCCUGAUGCAGCGACGCCGCGUGAGGGAUGACGGCCUUCGGGUUGUAAACCUCUUUCACCAGGGACGAAGCGCAAGUGACGGUACCUGGAGAAGAAGCACCGGCCAACUACGUGCCAGCAGCCGCGGUAAUACGUAGGGUGCGAGCGUUGUCCGGAAUUACUGGGCGUAAAGAGCUCGUAGGUGGUUUGUCGCGUUGUUCGUGAAAACUCACAGCUUAACUGUGGGCGUGCGGGCGAUACGGGCAGACUAGAGUACUGCAGGGGAGACUGGAAUUCCUGGUGUAGCGGUGGAAUGCGCAGAUAUCAGGAGGAACACCGGUGGCGAAGGCGGGUCUCUGGGCAGUAACUGACGCUGAGGAGCGAAAGCGUGGGGAGCGAACAGGAUUAGAUACCCUGGUAGUCCACGCCGUAAACGGUGGGUACUAGGCGUGGGUUCCUUCCUUGGGAUCCGUGCCGUAGCUAACGCAUUAAGUACCCCGCCUGGGGAGUACGGCCGCAAGGCUAAAACUCAAAGGAAUUGACGGGGGCCCGCACAAGCGGCGGAGCAUGUGGAUUAAUUCGAUGCAACGCGAAGAACCUUACCUGGGUUUGACAUGCACAGGACGCUGGUAGAGAUAUCAGUUCCCUUGUGGCCUGUGUGCAGGUGGUGCAUGGCUGUCGUCAGCUCGUGUCGUGAGAUGUUGGGUUAAGUCCCGCAACGAGCGCAACCCCUAUCUUAUGUUGCCAGCGCGUUAUGGCGGGGACUCGUAAGAGACUGCCGGGGUCAACUCGGAGGAAGGUGGGGAUGACGUCAAGUCAUCAUGCCCCUUAUGUCCAGGGCUUCACGCAUGCUACAAUGGCCGGUACAAAGGGCUGCGAAUCCGCGAGGUGGAGCGAAUCCCUUGAAAGCCGGUCUCAGUUCGGAUCGGGGUCUGCAACUCGACCCCGUGAAGUUGGAGUCGCUAGUAAUCGCAGAUCAGCAACGCUGCGGUGAAUACGUUCCCGGGCCU
rnacentral:rRNA from 1 species